rnacentral:rRNA from 1 species
CAGAGUAAUGGGUAGGAAAUUGCCCUGAUGUGCCGGAUAACCAAAGGAAACGAUGGCUAAUACCGCAUGAUGCCUACGGGCCAAAGAGGGGGACCUUCGGGCCUCUCGCGUCAGGAUAUGCCUAGGUGGGAUUAGCUAGUUGGUGAGGUAAGGGCUCACCUUGGCGACGAUCCCUAGCUGGUCUGAGAGGAUGAUCAGCCACACUGGAACUGAGACACGGUCCAGACUCCUACGGGAGGCAGCAGUGGGGAAUAUUGCACAAUGGGCGCAAGCCUGAUGCAGCCAUGGGGCGUGUAUGAAGAAGGCCUUCGGGUUGUAAAGUACUUUCAGUCGUGAGGAAGGUGGUGGCGUUAAUAGCGGUAUCAUUUGACGUUAGCGACAGAAGAAGCACCGGCUAACUC